UACGUAGGUGGCAAGCGUUGUCCGGAUUUACUGGGCGUAAAGGGCGUGCAGGCGGUCUGUUAAGUUCAGGGUGAAAGCUCCCGGGCUCAACUGGGAGAGGUCCUUGGAUACUGGCAGACUUGAGGGAGGUAGAGGAGAGUGGAAUUCCCGGUGUAGUGGUGAUAUGCGUAGAUAUCGGGGAGGAACACCAGUGGCGAAGGCGGUUCUCUGGGCCUGUACUGACGCUGGAGGAGCGAAAGCGUGGGGAGCGAACAGG
rnacentral:rRNA from 1 species